GGGUUGUAGAUCAGUGGUAGAGCGCUUGCCUAGCAUGUGUGAGGCCCUGGGUUCGAUCCUCAGUACCCA
rnacentral:tRNA from 1 species